GAGCCAGACUCCUACGGGAGGCAGCAGUGGGGAAUAUUGCACAAUGGGGGGAACCCUGAUGCAGCGACGCCGCGUGGGUGAAGGAGUAUUUCGGUAUGUAAAGCCCUAUCAGCAGGGAAGAACAAUGACGGUACCUGACUAAGAAGCACCGGCUAAAUACGUGCCAGCAGCCGCGGUAAUACGUAUGGUGCAAGCGUUAUCCGGAUUUACUGGGUGUAAAGGGAGCGCAGGCGGCGCGUUAAGCCUGGUGUGAAAGCCCGCGGCCGAUCCGCGGGACUGCAUUGGGAACUGGCGCGCUGGAGUGCCGGAGGGGUAGGCGGAAUUCCUAGUGUAGCGGUGAAAUGCGUAGAUAUUAGGAGGAACACCGGUGGCGAAGGCGGCCUGCUGGACUGCGACUGACGUUGAGGCCCGAAAGCGUGGGGAGCAAACAGGAUUAGAUACCCUCGUAAGC
rnacentral:rRNA from 1 species